rnacentral:rRNA from 1 species
GACGAACGCUGGAGGCGUGCUUAACACAUGCAAGUCGAACGAAGUGGCGAACGGGUGAGUAACGCGUAAUAAACCUGCCCUUCAGAGGGGGACAACAGUUGGCAACGACUGCUAAUACCGCAUACUGAAGGAGUGGAUUGCGUCUGAUUAGCUAGUUGGAGUGGUCACGUCCCAACAGGGCGAUGAUCAGUAGCCGGUCUGAGAGGAGGAACGGCCACAUUGGGACUGAGACACGGCCCAGACUCCUACGGGAGGCAGCAGUGGGGAAACUUCCGCAAGUGACGAAAGUCUGACGGAGCAACGCCGCGUGAGUGAUGACGGCCUUCGGGUUGUAAAGCUCUGUUAAUCGGGACGCGGUACCGGAAUAGAAAGCCACGGCUAACUACGUGCCAGCAGCCGCGGUAAUUC